GACCACUUCAGCUCAAUUAAGUGGUCUGGGUGCCAGGUCCCUAUAGGGUUAACCCUGCCUGAUGUAAACAUAGCAGUUUCAAGGAAACUGCUAUGUAUACAUAUGGGGUUAAGCCAUCCUCUAGUGGCUGUCUUCUGGACACUUUCCUAUGGACACUUUGAAUGCGCACGCGGCACUGCCGCACAUGCGCAUUCCGCACCGCAGGACGGGGGAGCUGACGUCGGCCCGGCGGUGGAAGAAGGUGAGUAACUGAAGGGGUUUUAACCCCUUCAGCACUGAGGGUGGGGGCACCCUCAGGGUACUAUAGUGGCAGGAAAACAGAUUUUAUUAGCAGAGGGUUUUGUUGGGGUUAAGGUUAGAUGUAGGGUUAUUGUUUGUGUAGCGUUAGUGUAAAGUAAGGGUUAAUGCUGUUUUAGGACUAAGGGAAAGGUAUAUGGCUAGUGCAAGGGGUAUGGUUGGUAUAGCAUUAGUG